rnacentral:tRNA from 1 species
UGGUCUGUAGCUCAAUUGGCAGAGCUGGCGGCUGUUAACCGCCCGGUUUCAGGUUCGAGUCCUGACAGGCCAGC